rnacentral:lncRNA from 10 species
UGGGGAAGACCUGUGCUUUAGCUUUAUGGAGCUUUUUUUAUUUGGCAUGGUAGAAUCUUAAUAAUUUCUAAUUUUAUUUGAAACUUUUAUAAAAGAGAGAGAAAAAAACAAUUCAGAUAAUUUGUAGAAGCUCACAAAGUUUUGGGUGUUUUGAAUUUUUUCUCCAUUCCUUUUCUGAAACAAUCAUAGAAAUCUAGAAAUAGAAGGAAACUGCGAUGUCAGUUAAUAAGACCUCCCACCCUCAUCCUCCAUUUGAAGAAGAAGAAACAAAGGUUAAUUGCCCGUAGGUCGACAAAAUUACCUAGGUCUCCUCAUUCUUACUCAAAUACCGGUCCUGGGUUAAAAAUGCCAUGGGCUGAUGAAAGAAGGAACAGCCAUUACUGUUGGUCCAGGCCCCAGUGAGCAUCUGGAGGCACCCUGGAGGCUGGCAAAUGCCUGCUAAAAAAGUGAAUCAAAAAACAAGAUAUGGAAGAGAAGGACGGCACUGAGGUGUACGUUACUAUAUAUAUGUCAAGAUCAUGGGAGAUCUCCAAGCUGUGGAUGAAGUGGAUAUACAUAAAACAAGGCAGAAGUGAGUCCAGCUGGUGGAGAAAGAGUGGAGUGAAACAAGGCAAGGAGAGGAACAAUUUCCACUAAAAAUAAAAUUAUUCAAAACCAGUCUUCAAACCCUUCAGGAAAUUCUGGUGAGAAAAGAAGAUAAACAGGAGACUAGAGAGAUGGAUAUCCAGACACAAUAGGGAGUAGGUUGGACUGUAGCUUGAUGUUUCUGCUGAUGUAUUAGGGUAAGAAGCAUUUGAAUUCAAAGAUAAGUACAACUGAAAAACGGGAAGUGGAGACUUUUUAUCAAGUCUUGAACUAAAGGGGUAGGGGUUUUAACCAGCUAUAAGCUGACUCUCAGUUGUAUAGGUAGGUGUAAGAAAGUGAGGGUGGCUAUUCUGAGCAAGGGGAAUCAAGACAGGGACCAUGAGGGAAUGUCAGUUAUUGCAAAUACAGUGACAUUUCCAAGUAUUAGUGUCUUUGAGUGUUCAGAUAUCCUAAAAACAUAGAUUUACAUGAUUUUAACCCAUUAGAGAAAGCUGUAUUUUAAAACACAUAUUUAUUAUUAACUAAGUCUGAAAGACUAAACAAAAACAUCAAAAAGCAAUCAGAAAAGAAGUACUGACAUAUCACUAGUUAAAUGAAAUGUCACAAGUCAGAAAAGAGGGUGAUAAAACAAAAAAGGUUAGAAAAUAUUACUAUUUAUAUAUACAAAGGAAAUUUUGUUUGCUCUACAAAUAAGGGUAGACAUAAUUGGAUUAACUGCUUUUUUGAUAGGAAUGAUUCAUUGGAAACAUAGAUCAUAAAAAUUAUAACAGAAUUUAGAUAAGUUAAGAGGUUGAACAUAAAAAUAAAAAUCACUCAUUUUGUAUGUAUCUCUUGAGUACCUACUAUGUUCCAGUCACUAUUCUAAUCAUUGGGGUAUGUAAAGAAGAACAUAGACAU